AUGUCGGCGGGCGACAUGUCCGAGCAGCUGCUAAAUUUCCCCAAAGAACUUGUGCUCGAUGACAUCAAGGUAGUUUUUGGCGAGCACCUUGAAGCCCUUGAAGCGGCACUUGGACAUCUCGAUGUGCUUGUCCAUCCUACCCCUCCGGAUCAACGCCAGGUCCAACUUCUCCUUGUGGUUGGUGGUGAAGAUGAUGAUCCGCUCACCUUGUCCUUGUGGCGUUUUCCGGUGAGGUUGACAGAGCAGUCGAUGUCCUCUAUGACGAUGAUGGACUUGCCCAUGGUCUCAAUGAAGAGCUUCCGCAACUUGGUGUUGUUCUUGACCGUCGUGAGCUCGAGGUCGUAA
rnacentral:rRNA from 1 species